GCAAUAACAGGUCUGUGAUGCCCUUAGAUGUCCGGGGCCGCACGUGUGCUACACUGAAUGGAUCAGCGUGCUUUUGACCUGGCCCGAAAGGGUUGGGCAAUCCGUUGAAACGCAUUCGUGCUAGGAAUUGGGGCUUGUAAUUGUUCCCCAUGAACGAGGAAUUCCUAGUAAGCGCGAGUCAAAAGCUCGCGCUGAUUACGUCCCUGCCCUUUGUACACACCGCCCGUCGCUACUACCGAUCGCCCCGGUUAAUGAGCAGCUCGGAUUGGUCGCCAAACACGUCUUUUCUCGGUCUAACGGCGAGUUAACGCUUGUCGGGGCUGUAGAGGGGCAUUGGCUGUGCCGAGAAGAACGGCAAAUUUGCCGGGGUAGAGGGAGUAAAAGUCGUAACAAGGUAUCC
rnacentral:rRNA from 1 species